rnacentral:tRNA from 1 species
UCCUCUUUAGCUCAGUUGGUAGAGCGCCCGGCUGUUAACCGGUAGGUCGUAGGUUCGAGUCCUACAAGGGGAGCCA